UUAAAGUUGAAUUAUGUUAUAUAGUUGUAGAAAAUGGUCGGAGGAAAAAGACAAUGGCUGAAACCAGGUGAUUUGAGAACUAAGAAGCUAACAGAAUAUGAGAAACAAAGAAAUAAGCGAAUCAAGAAGAACUAUGAGGUAAUGAACAAUCUUGGAGUGAAGAAUAUUACAAAUUCUUUGAUGAGUGUGGUUCAGCCCAAAUGUGCAAAUGCAAAGGAAAAGGGAAUUAGGGUUGAGGUAGAUGAUGAUGAUGAGUAUAAUCCGUCAGGGAGUGAGAACGAUAGUGAUAACGAGUCAUUGGGUUCCUUUUAUUGCAAGGAACAAGAGAUGCCACCGGGGUUACGUUUACAGCCUUAUUCGAGGCCAUUAACUCCCACCCCAGAAGAAGGGAUGGAUCCCCCACGUCAAGAGAUUGGUACCCAACCCUAACCACCUCAUAAUGUGCAACCUGUGCAUGAGGUGACUGCAUCUAGUAGUGUUGCACACAAAUGAUGUCAUUUUCAAUGAGGUUCAGCCCAAUAGUGAAGAUCUGUGUGAGCUUAUCAAGGUUAGAGUGGCCAUGUGGUUGAAGUCAAAUAUAGUGGGAAGAGAUUAUUCAAUUUACCAGUUUGUUUCAAACUUAAUAGAUUAGGAGAUGUAUCAAGUGACGGGUACUGGUGUUUAAAGAAAAGAAGAUGUGCUGUUGUUGAGUGAACUUCUGGGGUGAAGUAGUGGAGGUGUUAAGCUGAGAAUGGCUACUGAUUAGACAGUGCUUGAGGUGAAGGGUGAAUUUCUGGUUUUGUCUGGUAUUUCUACUCUGUUGCUGGUUUGUCUGCUGGGUAGUUUUGCUAUCUUUGGAUGCUGCUAAUGGUAAUGGUUGCUGUAGUGCUAUUCUUAGUAUUGGGUUGAUGCUAGUUGCUGCUGAUUGUUGCUGCUGUAGAGUUGUUUUGGUGCUGUGAUGUUUUUGGUGUUGUUUUGAUAUGCUUAUUGUUGUUUGUGUCUUGGUUUUUGAAAACAAAUGAUAGAUUGGUGGGAUGCUCCUGUGCUGUUUUGUUUUGCCAGUUGUUUUUUCUUGGCUUUGGUUGGUUACUCACCAACUCUUGAUGGUGUGCUAGCAAGGGAUUGGGUAGGCAUAUUUGUGCCAACCUAGUUGGGAUUGGUAUGUCUCGUUAUAAUGCUUUUUUCUCCCAUCUUUUUUCCUUCCUUGAUGUAAUGAGAUCUUUGUUCAUCAAUAAAGGUUUUAUUUUGCCAAUCAAAAAAAAAAAAUGUUUUUUGUUAGAACAAAUAGAAUGUAAUAGAAGAAACAUGGGCUGUUAGCAAACAUUUGUGGACUUUUUUGGGUUGUUUGUCAAAAUUCAUGUCACAUUAACUUUUGCAUUAAAAAAAUUAAUACUUUUUUAAUAUUAAUUUUCUAAUAAAAAAUAAAAAAACCAUUAAAAAAAGUUUGAUUGAUUUGUAAGGGCCACGUAGAAUCAGAACUCAUCUAAAGAUCAAAAGCUAACACCUUGUGUCAUUUUCUCCUCACCUCUUUUCCUUUCAUUUGCCAUACCUCAUUUCAAAUUAUUUCUAGUGGCUCCUCGACUAUGAUAAGAAUAGGGGUGCCAUUGUUGAUUUCUACUUUAACUGAAAGAAAAUCAUACUUCUAUGUACACAUGCUUCGCUAGCCGCAUCAAUCUCUAGGAUGUUGGGUAUGUUGAAUUGAAAAUGUUUCCUUAAAAAAGAGUAUAUAUGAUAAGUCAAGUUUGGACUGAGGUUUAAAAAUAAUGAGUAGUUUUAUUAUUCCUCAUUGCUUUCUAUAUUGCAGCUUGCUCUGCCCUCUCACACUAUCAAUUCAGAGAAAAAAUUGACUUGAGUUGAUGUUUUAUCAACUAACAAUAAGGUAAAAAACUUGUCACUCUAUUAUCAGACGCUGCUUCUAUCUGGUGAGUUUGGUGGGAUAGUGAGGAGUUGGGAUCUGACAGAUUUGACCCAAUGACACGAGAUUGUACUUUUUAUUUAUUUAUAAAUAUUAACACAUUUUUUUGAUUUUUGAAACUUAAAUUUAUAGAAACAAUAGAGAUACAACAGCAAAACUAUUGUUGUAAGCCCAGAUGGAAGUCAUAUUUAUGCAACAAGCAACUUGGCACAUCUAUAUGACUAAGAGUACAUUGAUUACGAGGGGAAAGGAGAUUAGGGGAACACUAUGGUGCAGUGCAUUUUCCCAAGGCUUGUUGUAGGGAGCCUAUGAACCAUAGAAACAUGCAUGAUACGAGUUGUGCUAUGAGAUUUAUUGGACUUGGAACACGAGAGUAUUAAUUUAAAUGAUUCUGCAUUCCAACAGUCACAACAUAUUGGUGGUAGGAGUUUUGACUUUCAGAAGGUGUCACAUAUGUGGCCAAGCAUGGUUGGGCUGCCAAGUAUUACUGGGAUGAGUCCAUUCUUUGGGCAGCCAAAUAUGCUACAAGGAGGAAGUGUGCAUUAUUCGACUAGUAUGGUUGGAAAAGGGUUUGGCAUUUAUCCAUCUUAGGAUCAUCAUUAAUCUUCAUCGUGGAGAGGAGGCUUUGAGAUGGCACCUAUGCAUCCCACUGGCUUAACUGGAAUGUUGACAAAGAAUGAUUUGAUGCAAGUUAAAAAUCCAAGAUUGCACAAGGAUGGAUUAGGAAAAGAAAGUCAUGAUGGAAAGUGAUGUUGAUUGAGCAAACUUGCAAAUGAUCUACUUUGUUUCAAUGUGUUUUUGCUUGAUCUUUAUAUGACAAUGGGAAUAUUGGUUUUUUUUUUUGGAGGGACAAGCAACUUUAAGUUUAUUUAAAUCUCAAUUUGAAGUUUAAACCUUAGUUU